UGCCGUCGGUGCUAGCAGGACCCUGAUUUUA
rnacentral:piRNA from 1 species